rnacentral:lncRNA from 1 species
AAUGACUUAAGCUGGUGGUCAGAGAUAAGAACUUAGUGGCAUCUCUUCUGCCUACCAGAUAGGACUCCCCACUUUCCUGCUACCUCCUUUAAACCAUUCAGGCAUUUGCCUGCAAACUUAAAGGGAUCCAUAUCCUAUUACUCCCUUUUACAUUCCGCUAGUUGCGCAGGUGCUUACUCUGUCUUUCUCUACCUAACUCUUCAUUCUUGCCUCACAUCACCUGGGGAUGGAGGACUGCUCUCCUGGCCCAGGAUCUAGACAGUGUCUUGCUGUAUCACAAAGCCAG